rnacentral:tRNA from 1 species
GCGGCAAUAGCUCAGUUGGUAGAGCACAACCUUGGCAAGGUUGGGGUCGCGAGUUCGAGUCUCGUUUUCCGCU